CCGAUCUUAGCUCAGUUGGUAGAGCGCGAGACUGUAACGGAUAUCAUAUCUUGAGGUCGCCUGUUCGAUCCAGGCAGAUCGGA